GAGCGCUCCAGGCCUCCUCCCGACCCUGCGCCGUGCCCAGCCCCUCUGCCCUCCUGUUACCCCGGGACCUCGGGCCGCCAGCCCCUUCCACGUGCAGGCUCCUGCUGCUCUCGCGGGGGCUUUUCGUGUGUCCCCCGAGAUGUCGAGGAAGCCAGAGUCCAGCUCUCCCACGGGUGGCUGUGAUCCUUCUUCCUGGGGAGUCCUGCUGUCCCUGACUAGGGGCACCUGCCCACCUGUCAGCUGCUCCUCCCUCGGCUGGUCCUCCUGGGCUCUGAUGGCCCCAACAUUUCUAGCUCUUCUCACCCAUAGUGCCCCAAGCUUCAUGCAGCUGCGGCAGGACACCAUGUUCCUCCCCUCUGGAGGAUGCUGUAACAAGCUGUCAUCUCGGGAGGAGACACCAGGCCCUGACCAGACGCUGAACAUGCCAGCACCUUCAUCUUGGACUUUCCAGCCCCCAGAACUGUGAGAAAUAAAUUUCUGUUCUUU
rnacentral:lncRNA from 1 species